GAACGCGAAGAACCUUACCAAGUCUUGACAUCCUUUGACCACUCUAGAGAUAGAGCUUUCCCUUCGGGGACAAAGUGACAGGUGGUGCAUGGUUGUCGUCAGCUCGUGUCGUGAGAUGUUGGGUUAAGUCCCGCAACGAGCGCAACCCUUAUUACUAGUUGCCAGCAUUGAGUUGGGCACUCUAGUGAGACUGCCGGUGACAAACCGGAGGAAGGUGGGGAUGACGUCAAAUCAUCAUGCCCCUUAUGACUUGGGCUACACACGUGCUACAAUGGAUGGUACAACGAGCAGCGAACUCGCGAGGGUAAGCGAAUCUCUUAAAGCCAUUCUCAGUUCGGAUUGUAGGCUGCAACUCGCUACAUGAAGCCGGAAUCGCUAGUAAUCGCGGAUCAGCACGCCGCGGUGAAUACGUUCCCGGGUCUUGUACACACC
rnacentral:rRNA from 1 species